GACGAACGCUGGCGGCGUGCUUAACACAUGCAAGUCGGACGAGACCCCUUCUUCGGGAGGGUGUUCUAGUGGCGAACGGGUGAGUAACACGUGGGCAACCUGCCCUCAGCUCUGGGAUAACUCCAAGAAAUUGGGGCUAAUACCGGAUAUGACUGCUGACCGCAUGGUCUGGUGGUGGAAAGAUUUAUCGGCUGGGGAUGGGCCCGCGGCCUAUCAGCUUGUUGGUGGGGUAGNGGCCUACCAAGGCGACGACGGGUAGCCGGCCUGAGAGGGUGACCGGCCACACUGGGACUGAGACACGGCCCAGACUCCUACGGGAGGCAGCAGUGGGGAAUAUUGCGCAAUGGGCGGAAGCCUGACGCAGCGACGCCGCGUGGGGAGUGACGGCC
rnacentral:rRNA from 1 species